rnacentral:rRNA from 1 species
AAGACCUUGCACUUUUGGAGCGGCCGAUGUCUGAUUAGCUAGUUGGUGGGGUAAUGGCCUACCAAAGCUUCGAUCAGUAGCUGGUCUGAGAGGACGGCCAGCCACACUGGGACUGAGACACGGCCCAGACUCCUACGGGAGGCAGCAGUGGGGAAUUUUGGACAAUGGGCGCAAGCCUGAUCCAGCCAUGCCGCGCGAGUGAAGAAGGCCUUCGGGUUGUAAAGCUCUUUCAGCCGGAACGAAACGGUUACGGAUAACACCCGUGACUACUGACGGUACCGGAAGAAGAAGCACCGGCUAACUACGUGCCAGCAGCCGCGGUAAUACGUAGGGUGCGAGCGUUAAUCGGAAUUACUGGGCGUAAAGCGUGCGCAGGUGGUUUUGUAAGUCAGAUGUGAAAGCCCCGGGCUCAACCUGGGAACU